rnacentral:rRNA from 1 species
AACGAACGCUGGCGGCAGGCUUAACACAUGCAAGUCGAACGCCCCGCAAGGGGAGUGGCGCACGGGUGAGUAACGCGUGGGAAUAUGCCCUUCGGUUCGGAAUAACACAGGGAAACUUGUGCUAAUACCGGAUACGAUCUACGGAUGAAAGAUUUAUCGCCGAGGGAGUAGCCCGCGUAGGAUUAGCUAGUUGGUGAGGUAAUGGCUCACCAAGGCGACGAUCCUUAGCUGGUCUGAGAGGAUGAUCAGCCACACUGGGACUGAGACACGGCCCAGACUCCUACGGGAGGCAGCAGUGGGGAAUUUUGGACAAUGGGCGCAAGCCUGAUCCAGCAAUGCCGCGUGAGUGAAGAAGGCCUCGGGUUGGUUAAAGGACUCUUUUGUUCUAGGGAAGAAAAGGUUAGGUGGCUAAUAUCACAACUAGC